rnacentral:lncRNA from 10 species
CUGUGUGUGUGUGUGUGUGUGUGUGUGUGUGUGUUUACAGAAUUCUAAAUAAAAAAGUAAAAUAUAUGCAAAAGAAAUGAUAGAAACAUUUUGGCAUUAGCUAAAAUGUAUUCAGACACUUAAAAUGUGCACACUUUCUUUGGGGAAAAAUUUUAGUAUGAAAGUUCAUUGCCUUAAUUUUUUAAUGGAAGUUAACAAAGGUCAAAUAGUUUUCCAAGUAUCCAAAAGCUUUAAAUAAUAAUGAAUGUCUUGGAUGAUUUAUACAUUUUUGCCUUGAUUUUUGAUAUAUUUCAUACUCCUACCAAUUUUUGUUUUAUUGAUCAAACUGUGGGAAUAUCUACAUUUCAUUAUAAGAAUGCACCACUUUCCUAGAAAUCAGAGGUGAAACCUAAUUCUUAAUGCUUCUCCAUCCUCUCCUGGUCUUCAGUUGUAUUCCACACUUAGAGUAUUGGUUCCCAGGCAUAACAGUUCUGAAAUGAUGAUUCAGGGCAACAUUCUGCCAAGAAUAUGCCUUUUCCCAGGAUAGGUCACAUACUGCAAAGUGUACAAAGUGUAGUUGUGACAUUCUAAGUGAUCAUUUUGGUGAUUUUUUUUCUUUUCUUAUUUCAAGAAUGAUAAAGCUUCUGUUGAAAGGGAAUUCAGCUGAUUAUAUAUGCUAAGUUGUUGGGAAUGUAAAGUAAAAGAAAGCAUGAUAACCAUAAGCAGUUGAUCAAUUAUAAAUAUGUAAUUUCAUAGGUCAAUUGAACAUCACCAAGCACCUAAAGGUGCGGUAUGGAAAAUUCAGUAAUGAGUGCAAUGUUUAAGAAACUGCUGUGCAACAGGACAGUGCUAGGUAUUUAUUAUUUUAUAGUUUUCUAAGGUAAUAUUUUGAAACCAAAGGACAAGAAGUGUCAGAAGAAAGAGGGGUGAGGGUCAGAGGAUGAAUAACUGACCUGCUAUAAAAUAGAGCCUGGAUCAUGCUCUUAGCACAACAUUCCCUUAGAAAACCCUGGGAUUCUGAAAUUACACAUUUCCAUUUUCUCAGGACCAGCAAACAUCAUUUCCCCACCCCCCUUUUUUAAUCACAUGAUAUGGGUCAAGAGAAGGAGAAAGAAAAGCAAGUGUUAAGGCUUGGGAUAAGAAGCCAGAAACAAUAAGAAAAAGAGCAAGCACAAUCUUAAACAUUUUGGUUUUCAUUCACUCAGAAGAAGAAACAAAUAUUUAAAUUUGCCAGAAUCAGAACUACAAUUUCACCUGUGAAAAAGAGAGACUUUUAGUCGUGAUAGGCAAGUAGGGUAUUUCACUGAAGGAAAGGAUUUUAAUAAAAUAAUCAGCAUUGAAUUGUUAUGGACUACUUCCUGCAAGGACUUGAUAGGGCAGCAAAGCAUAUGAAAAAUUAAGAAUGAAAUAUUAAACUAUUAGUAUUGCAUUUUCUCCUCUUCUUCCACAGACAUGCUGUAUUUCCCAGCCUCCCUUGCGCUUAGAUGGGUCCACCUGACUGAGAUCUAGUCAAUGGAAUGUGAGCUGAAAUUACUUCUAGGCUUAAACCAUAUUAAAUGUUUUAUAUUUUUUCCCAUUCCUCUCCUGCAUGUCCUCUUGCUCCCCACUUCCUUCCCCACCUCUGUUCAGUUGAAUUAAAGAUGACACUCAAGAAAGCAUUGGGAGCCAGAAUUUGAAGACGAAGAACACCUAUCAGCCUGCUGGCUUCAAGAGACUUGUGGAUUUAUUUAUUCAUUCAGUGCUUCUAUUACAAAUACAUUUUAAUAAAUUUUAUUUUUAAAAUAGUCACUUAUUGAGUUUGCACUAUUAUAAUUUCUGGAAUCUAUUGGCUAUGACAGAUAGCUGAACAUUCAGUACAGUGAGUCAGUUAGCUUAGAUUGUACAGAAAUCUGGAAGUAAACUUUCCAUUCUUUUGUCAGCAAAAGAUCAGCCAAAAAAUUUUUAAGUGAUUAUAAAUGUAAUAGUUGUUUCUAGAAAAUGAGAUUUUAGCCUUUGGUUGGAAUAAGUGGGAAAGGCUAUAUAUUACAUUGUAAUGAAGAACACAGACCUUUUAUUCUUUUUUUAAUGUCAG